GGCCGAGGCUACAGGAGAGGGCGGGGGGGAAAGAAAAGGGAAUUCCAACCUGUGGAAUCUUGGGGGUCCCCGAGGUCGGCUCCUUCCCUUUGAAACUGUGAAUGGUGCCAGGGACAGAGCCUCUAGCGACUCUUGGGGGGGGGAUUUGGGGUCUUCAGGGUGAGGGCGAGGGGAGUGUCAGAGUGUGAGUUUGGUACGGGAGUUCCAAACUUAGAAUCUUGAGGCCCGCCGGGCUCCGGCGCCGGCGAGAGGGAUCUCGGGCCGCCAUGCGGGACAGGACCCACGAGCUGAGGCAGGGGGAUGACAGUUCCGACGAUGAAGACAAGGAGCGAGUCGCGCUGGUGGUACACCCGGGUACUGCACGGCUGGGGAGCCCGGACGAUGAGUUCUUCCAGAAGGUUGGGACAAUUCGGCAGACUAUCGUCAAGCUAGAGAAUAAAGUCCGAGAGUUGGAGAAGCAGCAGGUCACCAUCCUGGCCACGCCCCUUCCCGAGGAGAGCAUGAAGCAGGACCUGCAGAACCUGCGCGACGAGAUCAAACAGCUAGGGAGGGACAUCCGCGCGCAGCUGAAGGCCAUAGAGCCCCAGAAGGAGGAAGCUGAUGAGAAUUAUAACUCCGUCAACACAAGAAUGAGAAAAACCCAGCACGGGAUCCUGUCCCAGCAAUUCGUGGAGCUCAUCAACAAGUGCAACUCAAUGCAGUCUGAAUACCGGGAGAAGAACGUGGAGCGGAUUCGGAGGCAGCUGAAGAUCACAAAUGCUGGAAUGGUAUCUGACGAGGAGCUGGAGCAGAUGCUGGACAGCGGGCAGAGCGAGGUGUUUGUGUCCAAUAUACUGAAGGACACACAAGUGACUCGACAGGCCCUAAAUGAGAUCUCGGCCCGGCACAGCGAGAUCCAGCAGCUGGAGCGAAGUAUCCGUGAACUUCAUGAGAUUUUCACUUUUUUGGCCACUGAAGUGGAGAUACAGGGGGAGAUGAUCAACCGAAUUGAGAAGAACAUUCUGAGCUCAGCCGACUAUGUGGAACGUGGGCAGGAACAUGUCAAGGUGGCCCUGGAGAACCAGAAGAAGGCGCGCAAGAAUCAACUGAAGUUGACAACCCAUGGCACCUACGGGGAUCUGACAGAGACUGUCAAACCGACGCGGAGAUUGCCACGUCUACGCAGCUGGGUGUCCACGUAGAGCAUGUGCCUUCUGCUUGGCAGUGCUGGACAGCGCCACCCCCGAAAGGCUGCUUACUUGUCUCAGGACACCAUCCAGAACUUCCCAGAAGAGUUGGCUUGACGGCCAAGCAAGGGCUCGGAUGGUGGGUUCAGUAAUUUGAACUUUUCCGGUGGGCUGUGGGGACCCAUGGAAGGUUUCUGAACAGCCAUUACAGCCUGGUCCCUGCUGUUGCCAUGUGCCCGCCUUGUUCUGCUAUGGAGAAUGGACGUGAGGUCCCUGACACUAAGGUGAUACCUACUAUUUCUGCUUCGGGUGCUACCACAUGGGCUGGAGGGGGGCUGAACACCAGACACUUCCUAAGGCUGCCAACUUGGUGGCCCCUAAGUCUACAGGUGCCAGUGUGGAAAGGAGGAUCUGGUUCACUGUGACCUUUGGCUUUGUUUUGUCUUAUUGUGAAAGGCCCUAGUAGUUGGGAUUUGUAGUUCAGAAUCAGUUCCUGAGGACCCUUCUAGAAAUACUCUAUAGCUUGAAUUUGAGCACUUAUGAGUAAUUUGGCCCAAAUGGGAGGAUUCUAACCACACUGCUUUGCAGUUUUUCAUUUGACAUUUUUUUGGGAUAUUAUUCAAUGACAUAGAUUGAUAAGCCUAAUUUUUUUGGAAACUGUUGCAUAUUUUACAGUGGCUUUUAGUCCUUUGUAAUGGACACAGAGGGUGUUCCCAGUCAUCACACAUUUUGCUGCACUGAACAAGGCUUCAUUUUCAGUUUUGUCACAGAAUUGGAAAAAGAAACUUGUGGUGUAAAUUCUUUGAGGUGUAUUUGCUGAGUGGAAAAGUGUAUGCUUUUUUUUUUUUUUUGCUGUGUUGCAUGGCUUGUGGGAUCUUAGUUCUCCAGUCAGGGAUCAAACCCAUGCCCUCUGCAUUGGAAGUGAGGGGUCUUAACCACUGGACCGACAGGGAAGUCCUUUUACUUUUAAAAACUGUGUUUGCUUGCUUCUUUUUUCCUCUUCCAGUUUUACUGAGAUAUGACAUACGGCACUGUGUUUAAGGUGUACAGCAUAAUGAUCACAUACAUCACAAAGCUUUUAACUUUUGAUAAACAUCACACUGUCUUUCCAAGAGGUUGUACCAAUUUACACUGUAGGGCCUCAUUUUUGUUUUUCCAUUUUUGGUCUUUGAAAAAUUACUUUAGUGUCAAAUACAUCACCUCCACUGUUUUUAAAAAUAUAUAUUGCACAGGAAUUUAGGAUUUUCAAGUUCUGUUAAAAAUAUCCUUUUGAAUGGCAAUGAACUUAAAGAUUAAACUGAGAAUCAACAGCUUUUAAUAGUAUCUUUCCAUUCAGGUACAUGGUUAUGUCUUCAUUCAGUUAGGUCUUAUAUCCUUCAGGAGAGAUACCAUUUUCUUCAUGUAGGAUUAGUAUGUUUUUGUGUGAGCUUUAUUCCUUUGUAGUUUAUGGGUUUUGUUAUUGAAAAUGGGACUCCAAGUAUAUUUUCUAGUCUGUUAUUGUAAUUUACAGGAA